CCUGUGACAUACCACUUGUUGCCUCGGCGGAUCAGCCCGCUCCCGGUAAAACGGGACGGCCCGCCAGAGGACCCCUAAACUCUGUUUCUAUAUGUAACUUCUGAGUAAAACCAUAAAUAAAUCAAAACUUUCAAAAAUGGAUCUCUUGGGUCUGGCAUCCCUGAACAAAGGAUGAAGGGCAGGCCGAGCCACAUGCUCUGGUUAGCUUAAACAAUCUUCUGCACAUCAGCUGGAGGAAGAAUUCAAAAAGUUCAUUCCACUUUGUCCCCUGCGAUCCAUGCCGAUAAUGAAUGAAUGUAUGUACUUGACUUUUUUUUC
rnacentral:misc_RNA from 1 species